ACUCAAAGGAAUUGACGGGGGCCCGCACAAGCAGCGGAGCGUGUGGUUUAAUUCGAGGCUACGCGAAGAACCUUACCCAGGUUUGACAUGUAGGUAGUAGGGAAGUGAAAGCGGACCGACUCGCAAGAGAGCCUACACAGGUGAUGCAUGGCUGUCGUCAGCUCGUGCCGUGAGGUGUUUGGUUAAGUCCAGUAACGAGCGCAACCCCUAGGGUCAGUUACAAGUGUCUGGCCCGACUGCCGGUCUUAAGCCGGAGGAAGGUGGGGAUGACGUCAAGUCAGCAUGUCCUUUAUAUCUGGGGCUACACACACGCUACAAUGGGUAAUACAAUGGGUCGCCAACCCGCGAGGGGGAGCCAAUCCUAAAAAAUUACCCUCAGUUCAGAUCGCAGGCUGCAACUCGCCUGCGUGAAGUCGGAGUUGCUAGUAAACGCAGGACAGCUAUACUGCGUUGAAUACGUUCCCGGGCCUUGUACACACCGCCCGU
rnacentral:rRNA from 1 species